rnacentral:rRNA from 1 species
AUUGAACGCUGGCGGCAGGCUUAACACAUGCAAGUCGAGCGGAGAUGAGGUGCUUGCACCUUAUCUUAGCGGCGGACGGGUGAGUAAUGCUUAGGAAUCUGCCUAUUAGUGGGGGACAACAUUCCGAAAGGAAUGCUAAUACCGCAUACGUCCUACGGGAGAAAGCAGGGGAUCUUCGGACCUUGCGCUAAUAGAUGAGCCUAAGUCGGAUUAGCUAGUUGGUGGGGUAAAGGCCUACCAAGGCGACGAUCUGUAGCGGGUCUGAGAGGAUGAUCCGCCACACUGGGACUGAGACACGGCCCAGACUUCUACGGGAGGCAGCGGUGGGGAAUAUUGGACAAUGGGGGGAACCCUGAUCCAGCCAUGCCGCGUGUGUGAAGAAGGCCUUAUGGUUGUAAAGCACUUUAAGCGAGGAGGAGGCUACUGAGACUAAUACUCUUGGAUAGUGGACGUUACUCGCAGAAUAAGCACCGGCUAACUCUGUGCCAGCCGCCGCCGUAAGAC